UACAGAGGGUGCGAGCGUUAAUCGGAAUACUGGGCGUAAAGCGCACGUAGGUGGCGACGUAAGUCGGGUGUGAAAGCCCCGGGCUCAACCUGGGAAUUGCAUUCGAGACUGCAUGGCUAGGAUGCGGAAGAGGGAAGCGGGAUUUCCGGUGUAGCGGUGAAAUGCGUAGAUAUCUGGAGGAACACCGGUGGCGAAGGCGGCAUUCUGGACCGACAUUGACGCUGAGGAGCGAAAGCCAGGGGAGCAAACGGGG
rnacentral:rRNA from 1 species